rnacentral:rRNA from 1 species
UACGUAGGUGGCAAGCGUUGUCCGGAAUUAUUGGGCGUAAAGAGCGUGUAGGCGGCCAGGUAGGUCUGCUGUGAAAACUCGAGGCUUAACCUCGAGAUGUCGGCGGAAACCAUCUGGCUAGAGUCCGGAAGAGGAGAGUGGAAUUCCUGGUGUAGCGGUGAAAUGCGCAGAUAUCAGGAAGAACACCCGUGGCGAAGGCGGCUCUCUGGGACGGUACUGACGCUGAGACGCGAAAGCGUGGGGAGCGAACAGG